CUUAGCUUGAAAACUGGGAUGACAAGAAAGAACCGAUUUUAUAGGAAACGAAGAAUCUUGGAUAGACAAAGAGGAUUCAUGCCAAGUUGUUCCGGCCUGCCCUCACAUAUGAGGUCUUACAAAGACUAAUGAUCCGAGAAGAUUGGAACUUUUCUUCUUUGCCUUUUGGAGACAGAUUCCAUGCAACAUUUUAGAAGUUCUACAAAUUUUUAGCUCCAUGUAUUUGCAGCUAAAUUGAGUAUUUGAUAGCGUACAUGGGUAUCUCAGCCACUGUCAAGCAACAUGCGUUCACAUCAUUUCAUGUCUUUGAGCUCCGCUCACGAUGACAAUCCCUUGAAAGCUCUAUCUACCACAGAUGUACUCACUGGUUAAGAACAUGGUUAAAUCCAGGUUCAUUUUAUCUUUUACUUGCACGAAUGUAUUUGUAUAAAUCUAAUAUGUCACGUGCAAAUAAAAAUGCAAACUUUUCAUGAUUUUCAUUAAAA